AUGUUGUGGGUUGUGUUAUGUUGUGGGCUGUGUUGUGGGUUGUUUUAUGGGCUGUGUUAUGUUGUGGGCUGUGUUAUGUUGUGUUAUGUUGUGGACUGUGUUAUGUUGUGGGCUGUGUUAUGUUGUGGGCUGUGUUAUGUUGUGGGCUGUGUUAUGUUGUGGGCUGUGUUAUGUUGUGGGUUGUGUUGUGUUGUGGGCUGUGUUGUGUUGUGUGCUGUGUUGUGUUGUGGGCUGUGUUAUGUUGUGGGUUGUGUUGGGUUGUGUUAUGUUGUGGGCUGUGUUAUGUUGUGGGUUGUGUUGUGUUGUGGGCUGUGUUGUGUUGUGUGCUGUGUUGUGUUGUGGGCUGUGUUAUGUUGUGGGUUGUGUUAUGUUGUGUUAUGUUGUGUUGUGUUGUGUUGUGGGUUGUGUUAUGUUGUGGGUUGUGUUAUGGUGUGGGCUGUGUUAUGUUGUGGGCUGUGUUGUGUUGUGUGCUGUGUUGUGUUGUGGGCUGUGUUAUGUUGUGGGCUGUGUUGUGUGCUGUGUUGUGUUGUGGGCUGUGUUAUGUUGUGGGUUGUGUUAUGGUGUGUUAUGUUGUGUUGUGUUGUGGGCUGUGUUGUGUUGUGGGCUGUGUUAUGUUGUGGGUUGUGUUAUGUUGUGGGUUGUGUUAUGGUGUGUUAUGUUGUGUUGUGUUGUGGGUUGUGUUAUGUUGUGGGCUGUGUUAUGUUGUGGGUUGUGUUAUGGGUUGUGUUAUGUUGUGGGCUGUGUUAUGUUGUGGGUUGUGUUAUGUUGUGGGUUGUGUUAUGGGUUGUGUUAUGUUGUGGGCUGUGUUAUGUUGUGGGUUGUGUUAUGGGUUGUGUUAUGUUGUGGGCUGUGUUAUGUUGUGGGUUGUGUUAUGUUGUGGGCUGUGUUAUGUUGUGGGUUGUGUUGGGUUGUGUUUUGUUAUGUUGUGGGCUGUGUUAUGUUGUGGGUUGUGUUGGGUUGUGUUAUGUUGUGGGCUGUGUUAUGUUGUGGGUUGUGUUAUGUUGUGGGCUGUGUUGUGUUGUGGGUUGUGUAAUGUUGUGGGCUGUGUUAUGUUGUGGGUUGUGUUAUGCUGAGGGCUGUGUUAUGUUGUGGGUUGUGGGUUGUGUUAUGGGUUGUGUUAUGUUGUGGGCUGUGUUAUGUUGUGUUAUGUUGUGGGCUGUGUUGUGUUGUGGGCUGUGUUAUGUUGUGGGUUGUGUUAUGUUGUGGGCUGUGUUAUGUUGUGGGCUGUGUUAUGUAGUGUUAUGUAGUGGGUUGUGUUAUGUUGUGGGUUGUGUUAUGUUGUGGGCUGUGUUAUGUUGUGGGCUGUGCUAUGUAGUGUUAUGUAGUGGGUUGUGUUAUGUUGUGGGUUGUGUUAUGUUGUGGGCUGUGUUAUGUAGUGUGUUGUGUUGUGUUGUGGGCUGUGUUAUGUUGUGGGUUGUGCUAUGUUGUGGGUUGUGUUAUGUUGUGGGUUGUGUUGUGGACUGUGUUAUGUUGUGGGCUGUGUUGUGGGCUGUGUUAUGUGCUGUGUUAUGUUGUGGGUUGUGUUAUGUUGUGUUAUGUUGUGCUAUGUUGUGGGUUGUGUUAUGUUGUGGGCUGUGUUGUGUUGUGGGCUGUGUUAUGUUGUGGGCUGUGUUAUGUUGUGUUAUGUUGUGGGUUGUGUUAUGUUGUGGGCUGUGUUGUGGGUUGUGUUAUGGGCUGUGUUAUGUUGUGUUAUGUUGUGUUAUGUUGUGUUAUGUAGUGGGCUGUGUUAUGUUGUGUUAUGUUGUGGGUUGUGUUAUGUUGUGGGCUGUGUUGUGGGUUGUUUUAUGGGCUGUGUUAUGUUGUGGGCUGUGUUAUGUUUUGUUAUGUUGUCGACUGUGUUAUGUUGUGGGCUGUGUUAUGUAG
ensembl:lncRNA